GACGAACGCUGGCGGCGUGCUUAACACAUGCAAGUCGAACGAAAAGCGAUGGAAGCUUGCUUCUAUCAAUCUUAGUGGCGAACGGGUGAGUAACGCGUAAUCAACCUGCCCUUCAGAGGGGGACAACAGUUGGAAACGACUGCUAAUACCGCAUACGAUCUAAUCUCGGCAUCGAGGAUAGAUGAAAGGUGGCCUCUACAUGUAAGCUAUCACUGAAGGAGGGGAUUGCGUCUGAUUAGCUAGUUGGAGGGGUAACGGCCCACCAAGGCGAUGAUCAGUAGCCGGUCUGAGAGGAUGAACGGCCACAUUGGGACUGAGACACGGCCCAGACUCCUACGGGAGGCAGCAGUGGGGAAUCUUCCGCAAUGGACGAAAGUCUGACAGAGCAACGCCGCGUGAGUGAUGACGGCCUUCGGGUUGUAAAGCUCUGUUAAUCGGGACGAAAGGCCUUCUUGCGAAUAGUGAGAAGGAUUGACGGUACCGGAAUAGAAAGCCACGGCUAACUACGUG
rnacentral:rRNA from 1 species